CAAAAGGAAACAUGUGUCCUAGUUGAUGAGUUCUGUAUCAAACUUGAUCAUGGAUGAUCAGAGGCGAGUUACAUGAGUCAACUGCCUCAACAACCAUUAGGCAACCAUGGAAAGGACGAGGUACACCAAGCAGGCUACAUGGGAAGCCUAAACCAGAUGGGAUGCCUCAUCUACUUGGAAGAUAAGGGAUAGCAAUAUGUAUUUAGAAACCAACUCUAUUUGGUAGAUUUCCUUGUAACAAACUAUAAAAUCCACUUGUAAACCAAUCGAGACUCUAUCUAUAUCCCAGACCUUGGACUAUUUAAUGAGGGGUUUGGAGCCCUGAUUGGUAUCCCAAGGCCUCUCAUCGUCAUAUCUAGGCAACUAGCCAUCAUCAACCCCUUGUAAACUCCAGCACACGUGCCUGACCAAGAAUAAAUCUAUGUCUUGUGUGCUACC